AACGAACGCUGGCGGCAUGCCUAACACAUGCAAGUCGAACGAGACCUUCGGGUCUAUUGGCGCACGGGUUCGUAACGCGUGGGAACCUGCCCUUAGGUUCGGAAUAACUCCCCGAAAGGGGUGCUAAUACCGGAUAAUGUCUUCUGACCAAAGAUUUAUCGCCUUUGGAUGUGCGCGCGUUGGAUUAGCUAGUUGGUAGGGUAAAAGCCGACCAAGGCGACGAUCCAUAGCUGGUCUGAGAGGAUGAUUAGCCACACUGGGACUGAGACACGGCCCAGACUCCUACGGGAGGCAGGAGUGGGGAAUAUUGGACAGUGGGCGAAAGCCUGAUCCAGCACUGCCGCGUGAGUGAUGAAGGCCUUAGGGUUGUAAAGCUCUUUUACCCGGGAUGAUAAUGACAGUACCGGGAGAAUAAGCUCCGGCUAACUCCGUG
rnacentral:rRNA from 1 species